AGCGAACGCUGGCGGCAGGCCUAACACAUGCAAGUCGAACGAACCCUUCGGGGUUAGUGGCGGACGGGUGAGUAACACGUGGGAACGUGCCUUUAGGUUCGGAAUAACUCAGGGAAACUUGUGCUAAUACCGAAUGUGCCCUUCGGGGGAAAGAUUUAUCGCCUUUAGAGCGGCCCGCGUCUGAUUAGCUAGUUGGUGAGGUAAUGGCUCACCAAGGCUACGAUCAGUAGCUGGUCUGAGAGGAUGACCAGCCACAUUGGGACUGAGACACGGCCCAAACUCCUACGGGAGGCAGCAGUGGGGAAUCUUGCGCAAUGGGCGAAGGCCUGACGCAGCCAUGCCGCGUGGAUGAUGAAGGUCUUAGGAUUGUAAAAUCCCUUCACCGGUGAAGAUAAUGACUGUAGCCGGAGAAGAAGCCCCGGCUAACUUCGUGCCAGCAGCCGCGGUAAGAC
rnacentral:rRNA from 1 species